UCCCCUAGUAACUGCGAGUGAAGCGGGAAAAGCUCAAAUUUAAAAUCUGGCGGUCUCCGGCCGUCCGAGUUGUAAUCUAGAGAAGUGUUAUCCGCGCUGGACCGUGUACAAGUCUCCUGGAAUGGAGCGUCAUAGAGGGUGAGAAUCCCGUCUUUGACACGGACUGCCAGGGCUUUGUGAUGCGCUCUCAAAGAGUCGAGUUGUUUGGGAAUGCAGCUCAAAAUGGGUGGUAAAUUCCAUCUAAAGCUAAAUAUUGGCGAGAGACCGAUAGCGAACAAGUACCGUGAGGGAAAGAUGAAAAGAACUUUGGAAAGAGAGUUAAACAGUACGUGAAAUUGCUGAAAGGGAAACGCUUGAAGUCAGUCGCGUUGGCCGGGGAUCAACCUUGCUUUUGCUGGGCGUACUUUCCGGUUGAUGGGUCAGCAUCAAUUUUGAUUGUUGGAUAAAGUCUUGGGGAAUGUGGCAUCUUAGGAUGUGUUAUAGCCCUUGGUCGCAUACAACGGUUGGGAUUGAGGAACUCAGCACGCCGCAAGGCCGGGUAUUUAUACCACGUUCGUGCUUAGGAUGCUGGCAUAAUGGCUUUAAUCGACCCGUCUUGAAACACGGACCAAGGAGUCUAACAUGCCUGCGAGUGUUUGGGUGGAAAACCCGAACGCGCAAUGAAAGUGAAAGUUGAGAUCCCUGUCGUAGGGAGCAUCGACGCCCGGACCAGAUCUUUUGUGACGGAUCCGCGGUAGAGCAUGUAUGUUGGGACCCGAAAGAUGGUGAACUAUGCCUGAAUAGGGUGAAGCCAGAGGAAACUCUGGUGGAGGCUCGUAGCGAUUCUGACGUGCAAAUCGAUCGUCAAAUUUGGGUAUAGGGGCGAAAGACUAAUCGAACCAUCUAGUAGCUGGUUCUUGCCGAAGUU
rnacentral:rRNA from 1 species